rnacentral:rRNA from 1 species
GUACUCCUACGGGGCGCAGCAGUGAGGAAUAUUGGUCAAUGGGCGCAAGCCUGAACCAGCCAAGUCGCGUGAGGGAUGACGGUCCUAUGGAUUGAAAACCUCUUUUGUCGGGGAGCAAGGCCCGCCACGUGUGGCGGGAAGGAGAGUACCCGAAGAAAAAGCAUCGGCUAACUCCGUGCCAGCAGCCGCGGUAAUACGGAGGAUGCGAGCGUUAUCCGGAUUUAUUGGGGUUAAAGGGUGCGUAGGCGGAACAUUAAGUCAGCGGUAAAAUCGAG